GACGUAGGGCGCGAGCGUUGUCCGGAUUUAUUGGGCGUAAAGAGCUCGUAGGCGGCUUGUCGCGUCGACUGUGAAAUCCCGCGGCUCAACUGCGGGUCUGCAGUCGAUACGGGCAGGCUAGAGUUCGGUAGGGGAGACUGGAAUUCCUGGUGUAGCGGUGAAAUGCGCAGAUAUCAGGAGGAACACCGGUGGCGAAGACGGGUCUCUGGGCCGAUACUGACGUGAGGAGCGAAAGCGUGGGGGAGCGAACAGG
rnacentral:rRNA from 1 species